CCUACGGGAGGCAGCAGUGAGGAAUAUUGGUCAAUGGACGGAAGUCUGAACCAGCCAUGCCGCGUGCAGGAAGACGGCUCUAUGAGUUGUAAACUGCUUUUGUACAAGGGUAAACCUGAAUACGUGUAUUCAGCUGAAAGUACUGUACGAAUAAGGAUCGGCUAACUCCGUGCCAGCAGCCGCGGUAAUACGGAGGAUCCAAGCGUUAUCCGGAUUUAUUGGGUUUAAAGGGUGUGUAGGAGGAUUGUUAAGUUAGAGGUGAAAUGUCCGGGCUUAACUCGGGAACUGCCUUUAAUACGGGUGGUCUAGAGAGUAGAUGCGGUAGGCGGAAUGUAUGGUGUAGCGGUGAAAUGCUUAGAGAUCAUACAGAACUCCGAUUGCGAAGGCAGCUUACCAAUCUAUAUCUGACGUUGAGGCACGAAAGCGUGGGGAGCAAACAGGAUUAGAUACCCUGGUAGUC
rnacentral:rRNA from 1 species